rnacentral:rRNA from 1 species
AGGACACUCUAUACGGAGUUACAAAGGACGACAUUAGACGAAUCAUCUGGAAAGAUGAAUCAAAGAAGGUAAUAAUCCUGUAGUCGAAAAUGUUGUCUCUCUUGAGUGGAUCCUGAGUACGACGGAGCACGUGAAAUUCCGUCGGAAUCUGGGAGGACCAUCUCCUAAGGCUAAAUACUCUCUAGUGACCGAUAGUGAACCAGUACCGUGAGGGAAAGGUGAAAAGCACCCCGGAAGGGGAGUGAAAUAGAACCUGAAACCGUGUGCUUACAAGUAGUCAGAGCCCGUUAAUGGGUGAUGGCGUGCCUUUUGUAGAAUGAACCGGCGAGUUACGAUUUGAUGCAAGGUUAAGCAGUAAAUGUGGAGCCGUAGCGAAAGCGAGUCUGAAUAGGGCGUUUAGUAUUUGGUCGUAGACCCGAAACCAGGUGAUCUACCCUUGGUCAGGUUGAAGUUCAGGUAACACUGAAUGGAGGACCGAACCGACUUACGUUGAAAAGUGAGCGGAUGAACUGAGGGUAGCGGAGAAAUUCCAAUCGAACCUGGAGAUAGCUGGUUCUCUCCGAAAUAGCUUUAGGGCUAGCCUCAAGUGAUGAUUAUUGGAGGUAGAGCACUGUUUGGACGAGGGGCCCCUCUCGGGUUACCGAAUUCAGACAAACUCCGAAUGCCAAUUAAUUUAACUUGGGAGUCAGAACAUGGGUGAUAAGGUCCGUGUUCGAAAGGGAAACAGCCCAGACCACCAGCUAAGGUCCCAAAAUAUAUGUUAAGUGGAAAAGGAUGUGGCGUUGCCCAGACAACUAGGAUGUUGGCUUAGAAGCAGCCAUCAUUUAAAGAGUGCGUAAUAGCUCACUAGUCGAGUGACACUGCGCCGAAAAUGUACCGGGGCUAAACAUAUUACCGAAGCUGUGGAUUGUCCUUUGGACAAUGGUAGGAGAGCGUUCUAAGGGCGUUGAAGCAUGAUCGUAAGGACAUGUGGAGCGCUUAGAAGUGAGAAUGCCGGUGUGAGUAGCGAAAGACGGGUGAGAAUCCCGUCCACCGAUUGACUAAGGUUUCCAGAGGAAGGCUCGUCCGCUCUGGGUUAGUCGGGUCCUAAGCUGAGGCCGACAGGCGUAGGCGAUGGAUAACAGGUUGAUAUUCCUGUACCACCUAUAAUCGUUUUAAUCGAUGGGGGGACGCAGUAGGAUAGGCGAAGCGUGCGAUUGGAUUGCACGUCUAAGCAGUAAGGCUGAGUAUUAGGCAAAUCCGGUACUCGUUAAGGCUGAGCUGUGAUGGGGAGAAGACAUUGAGUCUUCGAGUCGUUGAUUUCACACUGCCGAGAAAAGCCUCUAGAUAGAAAAUAGGUGCCCGUACCGCAAACCGACACAGGUAGUCAAGAUGAGAAUUCUAAGGUGAGCGAGCGAACUCUCGUUAAGGAACUCGGCAAAAUGACCCCGUAACUUCGGGAGAAGGGGUGCUCUUUAGGGUUAACGCCCAGAAGAGCCGCAGUGAAUAGGCCCAAGCGACUGUUUAUCAAAAACACAGGUCUCUGCUAAACCGUAAGGUGAUGUAUAGGGGCUGACGCCUGCCCGGUGCUGGAAGGUUAAGAGGAGUGGUUAGCUUCUGCGAAGCUACGAAUCGAAGCCCCAGUAAACGGCGGCCGUAACUAUAACGGUCCUAAGGUAGCGAAAUUCCUUGUCGGGUAAGUUCCGACCCGCACGAAAGGCGUAACGAUUUGGGCACUGUCUCAACGAGAGACUCGGUGAAAUCAUAGUACCUGUGAAGAUGCAGGUUACCCGCGACAGGACGGAAAGACCCCGUGGAGCUUUACUGUAGCCUGAUAUUGAAAUUCGGCACAGCUUGUACAGGAUAGGUAGGAGCCUUUGAAACGUGAGCGCUAGCUUACGUGGAGGCGCUGGUGGGAUACUACCCUAGCUGUGUUGGCUUUCUAACCCGCACCACUUAUCGUGGUGGGAGACAGUGUCAGGCGGGCAGUUUGACUGGGGCGGUCGCCUCCUAAAAGGUAACGGAGGCGCUCAAAGGUUCCCUCAGAAUGGUUGGAAAUCAUUCAUAGAGUGUAAAGGCAUAAGGGAGCUUGACUGCGAGACCUACAAGUCGAGCAGGGUCGAAAGACGGACUUAGUGAUCCGGUGGUUCCGCAUGGAAGGGCCAUCGCUCAACGGAUAAAAGCUACCCCGGGGAUAACAGGCUUAUCUCCCCCAAGAGUUCACAUCGACGGGGAGGUUUGGCACCUCGAUGUCGGCUCAUCGCAUCCUGGGGCUGUAGUCGGUCCCAAGGGUUGGGCUGUUCGCCCAUUAAAGCGGUACGCGAGCUGGGUUCAGAACGUCGUGAGACAGUUCGGUCCCUAUCCGUCGUGGGCGUAGGAAAUUUGAGAGGAGCUGUCCUUAGUACGAGAGGACCGGGAUGGACAUACCUCUGGUGUACCAGUUGUCGUGCCAACGGCAUAGCUGGGUAGCUAUGUGUGGACGGGAUAAGUGCUGAAAGCAUCUAAGCAUGAAGCCCCCCUCAAGAUGAGAUUUCCCAACUUCGGUUAUAAGAUCCCUCAAAGAUGAUGAGGUUAAUAGGUUCGAGGUGGAAGCAUGGUGACAUGUGGAGCUGACGAAUACUAAUCGAUCGAAGACUUAAUCAA